rnacentral:rRNA from 1 species
CGCGAAGAACCUUACCAGGUCUUGACAUCCCGAUGCUAUUUCUAGAGAUAGAAAGUUACUUCGGUACAUCGGUGACAGGUGGUGCAUGGUUGUCGUCAGCUCGUGUCGUGAGAUGUUGGGUUAAGUCCCGCAACGAGCGCAACCCCUAUUGUUAGUUGCCAUCAUUCAGUUGGGCACUCUAGCGAGACUGCCGGUAAUAAACCGGAGGAAGGUGGGGAUGACGUCAAAUCAUCAUGCCCCUUAUGACCUGGGCUACACACGUGCUACAAUGGUUGGUACAACGAGUUGCGAGUCGGUGACGGCGAGCUAAUCUCUUAAAGCCAAUCUCAGUUCGGAUUGUAGGCUGCAACUCGCCUACAUGAAGUCGGAAUCGCUAGUAAUCGCGGAUCAGCACGCCGCGGUGAAUACGUUCCCGGGCCUUGUACACGUCGACGCGGCCG